rfam:Schistosoma haematobium scaffold1052_8, whole genome shotgun sequence.
GCGCUGCUGAGGAGUCCCACAACAGGACGAAACGGCUUUCCAAUGC